CAACUCAUUGUUAUCUCCACAUUAAGAAUUAGAAAUUUGAUGUAUGGUUUGAGAUGGCAUCAAGCAAAAGCCGUGAAAUGAAAGAGCAACAAAUUUGAUACACAAGCAAAAUCAAGCUUGAGCUAACGUUUUUGACAGGUUACAAGAAAGAAAAAGACAAAUUAGCUGAAGAAAUAAGAAGUUUACUACCCUUCGCAUAUUCAUACGAGUCGAGAAGAAGGAAAUUUGGAUAUACAGAACAAACUUUCUUAGGUUUGUAUUGUACAAGUGAAGCAAAACCAAAUGAACCUCUAUCCCAUGCUAUCAUAGCAAGCAACGAUGACGAGUACAUACUCGGAUGGAUAAUGCCCUUAAGAAGAGAGCAACAAUGAUAUGUCUUUACAAUUAUGUUUAAAAUUUGUUGUUAUGAUUUAACUGUUUGCAUGGGAGAGAUGAAAUAUAAAGAGGAGGAUGAGGAUUGGUUUAUAUUGUUUAUAGAAAGACAAUAAAGCCCUCAUAUUGAUAUGUUGUUAAUAUGUUGAUGAGGGUAUGUAUAGACAAUGAAAAGAAGAAACAACACUAAGCUAUGUCAUUUUUUUUAAAAGGA